rnacentral:rRNA from 1 species
AGUCUGGUGCCAGCAGCCGCGGUAAUUCCAGCUCCAAUAGCGUAUAUUAAAGUUGUUGCAGUUAAAACGCUCGUAGUCGGAUUUCGGGGCGGUUUUGCCGGUCUGCCGUUGGGUAUGCACUGGUGCGAGCGUCCUUCCUUCCGGAGACGGCGCCUGCUCUUAACUGAGUGGGUGUCRGAGACGGAUCGUUUACUUUGAAAAAAUCAGAGUGUUUCAAGCAGGCAGCUCGCUUUUGCAUGGAUUAGCAUGGRAUAAUGRAAUAGGACUUUGGUGCUAUUUUGUUGGUUUCGAACACCGAAGUAAUGAUUAACAGGGACAGUCAGGGRCACUCGUAUUCCGCCGAGAGAGGUGAAAUUCUCAGACCAGCGGAAGACGCACCACUGCGAAAGCAUUUGCCAGGGAUGUUUUCACUGAUCAAGAACGAAAGUUAGGGGAUCGAAGACGAUCAGAUACCGUCGUAGUCUUAACCAUAAACCAUGCCGACUAGGGAUUGGAGGAUGUUCCAAUGUGACUCCUUCAGCACCUUUCGGGAAACUAAAGUCUUUGGGUUCCGGGGGGAGUAUGGUYGCAAGGCUGAAACUUAAAGGAAUUGACGGAAGGGCACCACCAGGAGUGGAGCCUKCGGCUUAAUUUGACUCAACACGGGGAAACUUACCAGGUCCAGACAUUGUGAGGAUUGACAGAUUGAGAGCUCUUUCUUGAUUCGAUGGGUGGUGGUGCAUGGCCGUUCUUA